CAGCCUCUUCCUCGUACAGUCUCCUAGCCCCGCCGGAACCAUCGCCGGUGGGAAGCGCAACCUAUGUCGUUGGCCACCAAAUCAACGCCAUUGAUACCCCUUCCUCUCCUCUUUCCAACCCCCACACCAUCAUCUCGCGAACUUCCCCCAGGCCGUCGAUUAUCUAUUUGAAGAUUUUUCGGCCACGACGUCAACUAUUUCAAAUCGCUCCAAACUUACACCAUUGACUCUCCUAACUUCCCUCAACCCAAAUAUAUGAACAUCUUGUCUCAAAUCUGGGUGGAAGUGCUCGAAUUUUAGUUUGAAAUUUCCAGCCAAAAUCCUAGGCGCUUUUAAGUACUCCAAAUUGAUGCAACGUGAUCUUCCGUCUUGCCUCGUGACGAAUUCAACGUUAGUAGCCAUUGAAUGCCAUUGAAGUUGGUCAAAUCUUAUAACAUGUGAGUUCCUCACAGUUUUUCUAUUUUUUUCUUUGUGUUAUUAUUUGACUCGAAUGCAGUUUUAUCUUCUCGGGUUAAUAAUUGCAGAUUGUUCUUGUUGCCUCUCGAAUUUCUGUUAACUGAUAAAUUUGGCAUUAGCUAGCAAUUAGUCUUGAUCAAUAAUUGGUUUAGUUUAGAUUUGUGAUGAUUAGGUCAAUGUUGUUGAUGAGUUCAAUUCUCCUUUAGUUAGUUAAUUGUUCCGCUUUGAGUUAGUUGUCAGUAAUGGUUCAUUAAUAAGUUAACCGUUCUUCAUUUGUUAGAAUAGUUCAAUUUGUUUUUUUUACUGAAUUUGUGAUAAUCAUUUGUUGGGUUGUUUGGAUUGUUGAUAGUAAUUGGGAGUUUGAAGAUUGUUAUUUAAUUGGAGAUUGGAUUAACCUUAGUUAAGUUCACCAAAGAUAGAGAAUUUAGAAAGUUAAGAUAGUAAUUGCAAAUAAAAGUUUAGGGGCAUUAUGGGUAAUUGACAUUGAACUUGAAAGUUGUAGGUUAGAGUAGAAAGCCCUAUAUCUUCUAGAAUAGGGUCAAGUGUAGGGUUUUAGUAAAUGUAAUGCAUUAACUUGUUACGUAGGUCAGAAAUCAGAGGACCAAAACAAAAUAAAAAAGGGACUAAUAGUGCAAACUGAAAAUCUGAGGGUUGACCCAUCUUUGCCUAUAAAGCAGCCCCAAUGCCAUAAUUCACAAGUUUGGGUAGCCUAAAAUUCCCCCUCUCAAGAUAUUCUACAGACUUCCAUAUCUACAAUUAAUAUUUCAGGUCUGAAAUUCCUUUAAAUCUCAACUUCUUUAAAAAGAAAAACUAAAAACAACAAAAGCUUCAAAAAAAAUGUACUACUAUAGUGUUUUUUAGGCAAAAUUGUUCACUUCCAGUCUCAUCUGUUUGUUGAGGUUCAUUGAAGUUUAUUAGUUUGUUUAUUGGGUUGCUUUGGGUCCAUGCAAAUUGAUUUUGAGUUGAAUUAGUGAAGCUGAUUGGUUUUAAAACAUUUAUGGACCAUCUGGUUGUGAUUUCAAGCUACUAUGAGUUAGUUCAAGCAGUGUUGGAUUGAGUUGCUAGUUUUCUGUUGACUUGUUGAAUAAUUUCUGGAUUUCGAACCUAUUCAUUGGCUGUUGGUUAUUCCAUAACUGUAGGAAAUUGCUUAUUGCUACUACUGUGCUGGGACCGACCUCCUUUGCUUCUAUUUGUGUCAAUUUCCGUGUACUUUUCGGUUUCCUUUGAUGUUGAUGGACUGAAUUUGUGUGUUGGUCGAUUGAAGAAAUAAAAUUCAAGUCUUGUUAACUUAAUGUUGAAUCUGUGCAAUAUCGUGCAAACUGGGAUUUUAGUUGUGUAGCAGUAAUAAUAGAGAAUUGGAUAAUUGAAACACUUUUAUAAUUUGUAGUAAACGAACUAUUGUGGACUAUUGAUUUGAAUCUGUACUCAAUUGUUCUGGAAGAUUUUUAUUAGGAAAUAAUAGUUGAUGCUUGAACACUUACGAGAAUUCAUCUUGUUUAGUAGUUAGUAGUUGAAUUUCAAAAUAAAUUAGACGGUAAUAUUGUCAGUAUAUGGAUGCCACGUUCGUUAGGUUAAGUGGAGUUGAAAAUUAAGUUGAAUUGAGGGUUCAUUUUCACAUUGUGGUUUGGGUAAAAUGUUGACAAUAUUAUUAGUUUUUGAUUGUAUUUGAGUGACUAAAUACUGUAACGGUUAAUGUGUUUUGGAUUUUUGGCUUGGAUCAAUUCAUUAUUAAAGAUUGGGGCUCUGAGGCUUCGAUACGGCAAUUCUGUGCAUGCGCACAUUGGGCAAGCGUAGGCUUCCCUUUGGAACUUUGGAGCACCCUUGCCCAGGCUCUAAAUCUGUUUUGCCCUCAACGGAAACGGGGCUGGUUUACGAGCCUGUUUCUUUGGGCCAGCCAUUUGUGCCCAGUUUAAAAUUCAAUACAUGGUUUACAUAAAAUUUGGGUUUUGAGUUAGGUAGCGGGUUCAAGCUAAAAGGCACCCCCUUUUGUUUGGACCCGGACUUGAACUUGAAGCCCGAAUUUUAGUAUUAAUUAAUUAAUUAAUUAGGUCUUUAUUUUCUUUUAGAGACAAAAAUAAAAACAGAAAAUAUAGUCUCUCUUAGGCUAACACUUUAUAAUAAAAAUGGGACAAGCCUCGGCCGAUGAAAUGAAAAAUUGUGGGGCCCUAAAUAAAGGUUUUUAAAUUAUUUGGAAAAUCAGGAAGGGUCGUUUAGUGAAUUUUACGACUCUCCCAAAAGAUAAUAAUGCGUUAGACUCUUUAGACGUGAUUUUAAUAAAAAUACGUUCCGAAACUCGGUUGUGCAUUUCAUGCGACCCAAAUAGAAUCCCAAAAUAUUGAAUAAAUUGUUUUUUGGAUUGCAAGUGCAUUUCAUGUGACGCAAUGCAAAGGCACGCUUUAAACAAUGUUCACCUUCCUUUCUUUAAAAUAAAUACACAUUGAAUAAAAGCGGUUAAAAAGUAAAAUUGGCACAUAGGUUCUUCAUGUAAUAAAAUUAGAUAAAUAAGCUAAAUGCAACAGUUGAGCGACCGUGCUAGAACCACGGAACUCGGGAAUGCCCAACACCUUAUCCCGGUUUAACAAAAUUCCUUAUCUAGAUUCUGGUUCGCAAACUGUUAACAGAGUCGUCUUAUCCUCGGUUAGGGAUUCAACCGGUGACUUGGGACACCAUUAAUCUCCUAAGUCGCGACUCUGAAUAAAUAAUAAUAAAUCUCGUUCUGAUUGUCCUUUAAUUGGAAAAACUCAUUUACUCCUCUUUUUAGGGGUGUAGGUGAAAAAGGAGGCGUGACAGCUCUGGCGAAUCUGCUGGAGAACAAGAACCCAGAACGUUUUGUUUAGGGUUCAAAUUCGAGCUUGGAAUAAUUGUUAUGUUUGGCUUUAUCUGAUUUUGUUACAUGAUCUGUGCCCAAUGUGCUAAUUUAUUGCUUUUUACCGCUUUGAUAUUAUGUGGACUGUAUAUAAACUGUGUCGAAACUCAUCUCCUCUCUAAGUCUUCUGAAUCAUGAAGAAGGGUAUACCUUGUACGACUUCUUUUCUGUAUAGAGUCAAAUCCCAAUUUAGAACGAGGUUUGAGUAAGUUGCAAAACCGGCGAAGCUUCUGUAUUCCCGAGAUGCUGCCUCCCCUCGGCUCGAGUUGUCCGCUCGAGUAAGCCAAGUCUAGAACAAACACCCGGGUUUUGAACCUAGAAUAACUCAGCCUCAUGCCGGAUCCCUAGUAGGAAUGCUUAUUUGCAUCAUGUUCAUUUUGACUUAGGGGACUCAACACAGGGGUUGGGUCCGUCUAGGGCUAGCAACCUAAAAUGAAAAGACCAUCCUGAUACAUCCUACUUGUUUUCUGUGCAUUUAUUUGUUCAUGCUUGCAUGUUGACCGGCUUCUGAAUCUCGGAAAUGUUAGAAAAUUAAAACCAAAAGAGAAAAAGAGAAAAAGAGAAAAAUAGCAUUUGGAGAGUUAAUUGAAUGUUUUGAAAAACCAAUGCUCAAGUACUGUCGAAACUCUGCUAAAAUUUUGAGAAAAUAAAAAAAUGUUUUGUUUUUAAAUAGUUGUUUUAUUCAAAAAGAGUCUGUCAUUUUUAGUUUUUGUUGUUUGCAAAAAUGGAAAAUGAAAAAUAGUUUGUUUUGUCAUGGGAAAAGAAAAAAAAGAGUCUUGAUUUUUGUUCUUCUUGUUUCAAAAUAGUUUAUUUGCCAACAAAAGCGAAAAUAAGUUGCUCUAUUGUUUGUUGAAAAUGAAAAAAGGCUUGUUUUUAAAAGUAUUUUAUUUAAUUUAUUUAUUUUAUUUGAAAUGCCAAAAAUGAAAAUAAAAAAGUCAUGUUUUAAAAUAGUUCGGUUAAUUUGUUCGAACUACGUCAGUUUGAUUCUCACAUGGUGUGGGAUACGUAGGUAACCCUUAUCGGGUCCAACCUCUCCUUUGCAAAAAUAACCAAAAAUAUCAAAAUUGUAAUUUUUGUCAUAAAUAAAUCAGGUGAUACUAUUUUUGUCAAAAAUAGCCAAAUCUUCCCAAACGGGACGUCAAAAGCCUGACCUUGCAUAAAUGGCCUUUGGUCAUAUUUUGAUUUUUUUACCCUAGCAGCCUUAAGUCUUCGUCCCUAAGGAGCUGGAAGGUCGUGUUUGUAUUACUGGGUCAUUUAUUUUAAUUUAAAAAAAAACAAGAAAGAGAGUCGGUGGUCAAGUGAAUACCGUUCGGAUUUUGGGUCAAAAUUGGCAUAUAGGGGAAGGAAUCUAUCAUUUUGUUUUUGGGUUUGUAUUUCUUUUGAUUAGAGUAUAUGGGUUGUUUGAUUUUUGAGUCUGUAUUUUAUCGUUAAAUUGGUUAGUUUUGUUGUUAUUAUGAAUAUGGAAAAUUCCAAAAAUGUCUUACUCUCGUUUACCAUUUAUUUUCAAGAACUACGCACGGUCUGAUUCAUGCGGGGUCAUGAAACGUAGGCAAUCUCCAUAAUAUUUGACCACAACCAAAAAAAUGGAAAAGAAAAUUGAAUAAAGAAAAAUUAAGAAAAACUGGAAAAGAUGUUGUUAAUAAUGAGGACCGACUUAAUCCAUUCUAACAUGUUCUAUUUUGAAUUGUGAAGAAAGUUGAGGUGGUUGGUUUGUGGUAACUCCUCCAUACAACACAAGGUCGAAAAACAAGGCAGUCAUGGCCAGCAAAAAGUUGAACACAGGUAUUACUUAUCCAUCUAGGGGCAUUGUUGAAUCAGAUCUGAGCUGAAAGAAGAGGUUUUGAGGUUGAAAAGACAGAUAGUCGGAAUGCACAAAGCUUGGGCCAGUGGGUAUCCUCCGCCAUCAGUCCCUGAUGCCCAACAUUAUCAUGCUCUUUAUUUUGAAUCUCCCUGUGAGACUCCAAAGCUUGCUAAAAGAAUGGAGUGGAAUAUCAUCGGUGCCCAACAUUAUGCUCCAAAACUAAUUGUCAAGACCUCGAGUCCAUACCAUCACGCUUGUCAUUUUGAGCUUCUCGAUGAGACUACGAAGCUUGUUAAAAUAGUGGAGCGGGAUGAGAUAUCCAGAAAGCUGGAAGGAUUUAAGAUGCCGAAGUUUAAUUUGUAAGAUGAGCGGGGAGAUCAAAUUUCCCACUUGAGGGAUUAUUUCAAUAAAAUGAGGUAUGUCGGCAAAGAAGAUUAGUUGUUAAUGUCACAUUUCAACGAGAGCCUGACUGGGGAAGCCUUGGAAUGGCAUGAUCGUCAAGAUGUCGGGAAGUGGCACACGUGGGCGAUAUAGUCAAGAUUUUGUGCAAAAUUUUCAUUACAAUAAAGACAUUGUCCCCAACCAGUCCUCCCCAUUUCAGACGUAAAAGAAACCCAAGGACAGUUUCAGGGAAUUUUGGGUCAGGUGGAACGAACAAGUUUCUCAGGGUACUCCUUCCAGUGAUAAAAAAGAUAUUAUUGAACCACGCCAACGACGGGGCCCCGUGGGAGUUCUUGGUAAAUGCUUUCAGCCUUAAUACCAGCCCCGUGAAUGUUCCCAAACUCCACAUAAGCCACCUCUGUACUAUCUACCUCUGAACCCCCAUACUCUGGUGGUCCUUCCCAAUAUGUUGCCCAGCCAUCAAACCACCCAAGAAAGUGAGCACGAGUAUCACAAAAUCUCCACCCGCCUCCAAAAAAUUUUCAAGUACCUUAUAACCCACAUCCAAGCUAGGGGUAUAGAAGGGAGCAAAAGCUGAAAGAUAGUUUUACACCUAUAGGAGAGUCCUAUGCAAGCUUAUUUGAGAAGUUAAAACAACAUGACAUGAUUGCACUCAUUCCUCCAAAUCAGGUGGACCGGCAUGCAAGAAGCUUUGACUCAACUAAAAGGUAUGAAUACCACUCCAAUGCUCUGGGCAUGAUGUGGAAAAUUGUCGGGAUUUGAAAAGAGAGAUUGAAAGGAUAAUCCAGGAAAAUUUGAUUCAAGACAGUGGCAUCCAGAAUAUCACGAUACAUACCUUACAUGAGGAGGCACACUCGGUGGGGAUGAGUGGCUAAGAUAUAGUACUUGGUAACUGGAAAGACGCUCCAUUCCUAAGUCAACCGAGAAGGAGCUUUGGUGGUCCAUUUUGCUGUCAUUUCUGUUACGUGCAAGAAGCUUUGACUCAUCUAAAUGGUGUGAUACCACUCCAAUGCUCUGGGGCACAAUGUGGAAAACUGCCGUGAUUUGAAAAGGGAGAUAGAAAGAAUGAUUCAAGAAGGGGUAAUUGUGGUUAAUGACAGUGAUAUGGAGCAUGCAAAUCCUCUUGGGAACAGGUUGACUGAAGUUGAUGAUAUCGAAGUUGGUAAUGAUCUUUGCAAUAUUGACGCAGAACUCAGUGGCUAAGAUGCCGAGCUUGGUUAUUAGAAAAACGCUUCAUCUCUUGGCCAGCUGGAGAGAACUCUUGGUGGUUUAUUUUUUUUGUCAUUUCUGUUGUCUGGAUUAUUUUCAGGGUUGUAAUUCCGAUAUCGUCUUGUGAUUCAAACCCUUCUAUCCUUUUAUUUGUCUAGUCGUCACAUCCUAUAUAGUGUUAUCUAGGUUUGUUUUAGGAUUGUACCCCAAUUUGUGUUGCUUGUUUUGUUGUCAACCCCUUUCUCCAUUUAUUAAUACAAUUCUAUGUUUUCUGCCAUUUCUAGUAAUUUUUGUUUAGUUCUCUUUCUUUCUACAAUUCUUUUCCUGCUGGUUCUAGUGACAUGACAUGCACGCAUAAUUCUCAAUCGGACUUUUAAAAGCUAUGUUGGUCGGGAAGCAAUGAAACCAUUUUAAGGACAAUGAGGACACUUGAGGAAAUAAGAAUAGAUUAGAGCGAUUAAAACAUAAAAAAUCCCCGCAAAAGAAAGUUGGCCAAAUUGAUAGGGGGCCAAUCGUGGUAAUAAGAGUAAAAGUGUGGCCUAAUGGCACAUUAUAUCAGGCAGAUUUAGGAAGAAAUAUUGGAAAUGACUGUCAAUUCCGAUGUAGUCAAGAGAUAUUGUGUAUGGUUUCGGUAUUUUGAUUGUACCUGUUUGUACUUGGCAUAUUUUGAGGGUUGAAAUGAUAAAGGCAUUUUGUUCCACUAUCCAAAUACUUUUUUCUAUCGUCACCCCUUUUGAGCCGUUUUUAUUUUCUUUCAUACCCCUCUUUCGAAAUCAACAACAAAAUCAAAGAAACGCAAGUACCAGAGAUAAGCAAACGGAAAAAGAUUGAAAAAAAAUGAAGGAAAUGAAAAAGAAGAAACAAAAAGGAAAAGAAAGGGAAAAGAAAGAAAGGAAGAAGAGAAAAUGAAAGAAAGUAAGAAAAGGAAAAGAAACGAAAAAAGAAAAGAAAAGAAAAAUAAAAGAAAGGAAAAGAAAAGAAAGAAAGAGAAGAAAGAAAAGAAGGAAAGGAAAAGAAAAUUGAAGAAAAGAAAGGAAAAGAAAAUUGAAGAAAAGAAAGGAAAAAAGUAAGAAAACAAAAAGAAAAGAAGAGAAAGAAAAUCACAACAACGUAGUAUCUAUGACGUGAACUAUGUUUAACUUGAUCCCUACAGAGUACGUAGGUAGCCUCUCUGAUGUUCAGUCAUACCAAAAUAAAAAUUCAAAAGUCCCCAAGUAAGAAACUGAGACAGAAGUUGUGAUUGUUGAAAGAAAUUGGAUUCCAAAGGUUGUACUUUUAACCCAUUUUGAAAAUUGUUUUGAGCCUGUGUAGCCCUUCUUUCUUGUCCCAUCCAAAAUCCCACAUUACGGUCCAAAGAAAUACCUUUCGAUCAAACUAUGAGAAAAUUCCAAUUCAAGCAGGUAAAGGCGAUUCAUGUCAGGGGAAACACUCCGGUUCAAACAACAAAAAUGAGAACGAAAGAAUUCACGGGUACCACAAGGCGAUUAAAGUUGAAAGAAAAGAAAAUGAGAGAGAAUUAUUGGUGAAAACCUUCACAUGCACCUUGAGGUGACGGUAUGUUGAGAGAAAGAGCAAAUGAGAGAGGUUUUGUUGGUGUAAACCCUUUGGGCACUACAAGCCGAAUAAGGAAUAUAAAUCAGAUUGGAUAAGCGGAGCAUAGAAGUCCAGUUUCACAGCGAAAGGUACAACAAGAGCUGAACAUUCGAAUUUAUUGACAGAAUGUUUACAGGUGUAUGUCAUGGUCAUUAGAGUUGGUAUCUACAUUCGAUAGGUUUCUAUUCCGUAGUUUUAUCUUUAGGACUCAUCUAUUUCCUUUUCCUUCACUCCGUCCCUCAGUUUUUAUUCACUUUCCCUUCUGAGUUUGUUUUAUCAUAACAAGUGGAAAUGACUUCAAAAUUUGCCACCAACUUUUCAAUUACACAAAACGGGGGCACAAGUCAGGAAAACAACAAGAGCAUUGAAUUGGUAAUACUCAACAUGCUUUAGGGGAGAAAUAGACUUCAGGGUCAAGGGGCCAGGGAGUUUCAACUUAAACAGACGACAGACUAUGGGUAGCAAUCAACAUGUUUUGGGGGUUCUUGUGAGGCACAAGGGUUAGUAAAAGUCAGUUCAGAAGUAGGGCAUCAAGCUGAAUGUAUAGGAUUUGAAUAUAGAAGAGGUAUGGUCUGUGCUAAGGAUGACAGAGGAAGUGGCUGGUCAAGAAACAGGCAGGGGCUUCAAAUGGGAAAUGAAAAUCAUGACAAGUAAGGGAGCAACAAACCUCAAGGCCAAGGCCAUCAUAUAUGCCAAGAAACAACAACAUAUUGUGGGGGCGAUGGACGUGCCGGGAAAUUCAUGUGAAAGACAAGGUUGGGGAGAUGUCGAUUCAUUCCAUAUGCACCUUAUGUGAUAAGGGCAACAGAAAAGGGGUUGGUCCAUAAAACAAGCAAGGUUUUCGAACAAAAAUCAAGCAUCACGGCAAGCGAAGCAGAAAUCACCGCAAAAUUCAAAACCACAAACCAACCACCACAUUAAACUAACAAGAUCUUUCUUUGACCAAAAUAGGGGCAAAAUUUCAUUUGUUUUAGGGAAACUCUCCGCAUGGGAAAGAUCAAGCACCAAAAUAGGUUUGACAGAAGUUCGAAUACAUUGUGGUCUUUAAAUUUCAUAUAUUUCAAUCUUUCAAUUUUAAGUGUUGAAGUGGGGAGCCCACCCCGAUAACAGAGGCAUAUAUUUAAGUCUUUAAAAUUUAAAUUUUGAAGUAGGGAGCCUGCCCCCAUAGUCUUUAAAUUUUAAGUUUUGAAGUGGUGAGUCCACCCCGAUAACAGAGGCAUACACUUAAGUCUUUGAAUUAUAAGUUUUGAAGUGGGGAGCUCACCCUGAUAAAAGAGACAUACACUUAAGUCGUUAAAUUUUAUGUUUUGAACAAGGGAGCCCGCCCCGGUAACAGAGGCAUACAUUUCAGUCUUUAGAUUUUAAGUGAUGAAGUGGGAAUCCCGCCCCGAUAAUAGAGGCAUACAUUUCAGUCUUUAGAUUUAAAUUUUUGAAGUGGGGAGCUCGCCCCGAUAACAAAGGCAUACAUUUAAGUCUUAAAAUUUUUAAGUUUUGAAGUGGGGAGCCCGCCCCAAUAACAGAGGCAUACAUUUCAGUCUUUAGAUUUUAAGUUUUGAAGUGGGGAGCUCGCCCCGAUAGCAGAGGCAUACAUUUCAGUCUUUAGAUUUUAAGUUUUGAAUUAGGGAGCCGCCCCCGAUAACAUAGGCAUAUAUUUAAGUCUUUAAAUUUUAAGUUUUGAAGUAGGGAGCCCGCCUUGAUAACAGAGGCAUACAUUUCAGUCUUUAGAUUUUAAGUGUUGAAGUGGGGAGCCCGCCCCGAUAAUAAAGGCAUACAUUUCAGUCUUUAGAUUAUAAGUGUUGAAGUGGGGAUCCCUCCCGGAUAAUAAAGGCAUACAUUUCAGUCUUUAGAUUUUAAGUGUUGAAGUGGGGAGCCCGCCCCGAUAACAAAGACAUACAUUUUAGUCUUUAGAUUUUAUGUAUUGACGUGGGGAGCCCGCCUCGAUAACAGAGUCAUACAUUUCAGUCUUUAGAUUUUAAGUGUUGAGGUGGGGAGCCCACCACAAUAACAGAGGCAUACAUUUCAAUCUUUAGAUUUUAGGUGUUGAAGUGGGGAGCCUGCCCGUAUAAUAAAGGCAUACAUUUUAGUCUUUAUAUUUUAAGUUUUGAAUUGGGGAGCCCGUCCCUAUAACAGAGGAAUACAUUUCCGUCCGUAAAUUUUAAAGCAUGCAAGUUUUAGUUUUCAACAUUUGUUAGUGCGUGGUAACAAGUCCCAGUUUUCCCAAACUGGGGCAGAAAGUUACUUGGUUAUUCUAUUUUUGUGAAAUCACGAGCCCGCCUGGAUAUUAGAGGAAUAUAUUUCAGUCAGUAGUCAGGAGCCCGCCUGAAGAACAUAGGCAUGCAACUCAAAUUUUAGCAAUCAGGAGUCCGCCUGAAGAAAUGAUGUGAUAUAAUUCAAAAUUUAGUUUUCAGUCAAUUUCUUUGUCUAAUUUGAAGUGAGGAGUCUGCUUGGAGAACGGAGACAUUCAAUUUAAAAAUACAGAAGUCAGGAGUCUGCCUGAAGAACAGAGAUAUUCAAUUCAAGUUUCGAAAAUCAGGAGCCCUCCUGAAGAACAGAGGUGAUACAAUUCAAAUUUUAGUUUUCAACCAAUUUCUUUGUCUAAAUUGAAGUCAGGAGUCCUCAUGGAGAAUAAAGACAUAUACUUCAAAUUUCAGUAGUCAGGAGCCCGCCUGGAGAAUGGAGGUGUUAAAUUUUUAAGUAGUUGAAAUCAGGAGCCCGCCAGGAGAAUGGAGGUGUUAAAAUUUUAAGUAGUCGAAAUUAGGAGCCCGCCUGGAGAAUGGAGGUGUUAAAUUUUUAAGUAUUUGAAAUUAGGAGCCCUCCUGGAGAAUAGAGGUGUUAAAUUUUUAAGUAGUUGAAAUGGAGGUGUUAAAAUUUUAAGUAGUCGAAAUUAGGAGCCCGCCUGGAGAAUGGAGGUGUUAAAUUUUUAAGUAUUUGAAAUUAGGAGCCCUCCUGGAGAAUAGAGGUGUUAAAUUUUUAAGUAGUUGAAAUCAGAAGCCCGCAUGGAGAAUGGAGGUGUUAAAUUUUUAAGCAGUUGAAGUCAGGAGCCCGCCUGGAGAAUGGAGGUGUUAAAUUUUUAAGUAGUUGAAAUCAGAAUCCCGCAUGGAGAAUGUAGGUGUUAAAUUUUUAAGCAGUUGAAUUCAGGAGCCCGCCUGGAGAAUGGAGGUGUUAAAUCUUAAGUUAUAGUUGAAGUCAGCAGCCAGCCCGGAGAAUGGAGGUGUUAAAUCUUUAAAGUAGUUGAAGUCAGGAGCCCGCCUGGAGAACGGAGGUGUUAAAUUUUUAAGUAGUUGAAGUCAGGAGCCCGCCUGGAGAAUGGAGGUGUUAAAUCUUAAGUUGUAGUCGAAGUCAGGAGCCCGCCUGAAGAACGGAGGUGUACAAUUCAAGUUUCAGAAAUCAAGAGCCUGCCUGUAUUAAAAAAGGUAUUUCGACACAAGUUUUAGUCAAAAUUAUUAUUAUUAUCCGGUAGCGCGUGCCCGUUUCCCAAAUUGGGGCAGAAAGUUUUCUUUAUUUUGUCUAUUUUAAUGAAGUCGGGAGCCCGCCUGCAUAACAGAGAAAUACAUGCAAGUUCAAGUUCAGCAGUCAGGAGUCCCCCUAGAUAACAAAGGAAUACAUUCAAGUUCAAUUUUAUUCAAGUCCAGCAAUUUGGGGAGAAGGAACAACAUCUCAGCUAGCAAUCGGAAGUAACAACAGUGGAUUUCACCAAGAGAAUACAAGACAACAAGACCACAAGACAAUAAGGAAGUACAAGAACAACUUUGAAGAUUUCAGAUAGGACUUUUGUAAUUCAUAGUUUAUAGCUUAGGCUAGCUUCUUUUUAUCUAUGACAUGGUGUAAUAUGGGAGGUCAGCAAGCAGUAGUAGCAAAAAGCGCAAAGAAAUCACAGCUCCUGUUAGUCCCAGCUACCAGACACUCCCAAACUACACUGACUUGAUUCCUGCUUAGCCUAGGAUAUGUAGACAACCUCUGAAGCAAGGUGUGGUCAAAACUUUUCAAAAUGCUUCACAACGAAAUAUUUAGGCAGGCAAAAAUCACUCGUAUUUGCUCAUUUAUCUUUGCCCGAAAACAUGAAAUAUUUUCGAGCAAAGAGGGGCAGAUGUGAGCACGUGAUUAUUUCCCUAUAUAUGAAUUAUUCCCAAAAAUUUCAAAUAAAAGAAUUUUACUUAUUUUUACAAGUUCUGUGCAAUUUGUAUCAUUUUCUGAUACUCGUUUGCAUUCUAUUUGUGCGUAUUAAUUCAUAUGAAAAUAUAAAAUAUGCAUUUUCAUUUUAGAUUUUAAUUUCAUAUGUUAGUAUUAAUUAUGGAUUAAUUUGUUUUAGAAAAAAAUAUGAAGAAAAUGACCAAAAGAUAAUUCACUUUUGCAUUUUUAGUUGUUCAAUUGUGAAUUCGUCCCGAAACAGUUUUUAAAAUAAUUUUAGGAAGUAAUUAGUUUAAUCUUGAAAUAUAUUAGGACUUUAUUUUAAUAGUUGCAAUUUUGUAAAAUCGGGAGAAAAUAAAUACACAAUGGAAAAAGAAUUAAAAAGAAUUUGAAAAUACAAAGAGAUUGGUUUGAAUUAAAUCCCAAAUUUGGGCCAUUUUUUCACCCAGCUCGCCAGGCCCAAGCAGUCCAGGCCCAAGCGAAUGCCCAACCCGGUCCGGUCCUAAGAGGGCUAAACGACGCCGUUUAAGGCAGGGUCAAUCACGACCCUUGAUCUUCCCUCAUCCAACAGCCCUUAAUUUUUGCUGGAUAAUUAUAUAAUGGUCGGAUUCUUUAAUUAAAUCAAAAUACAGCAGCCUCUUCCUCGUAUUACCUCCUAGCCCCUCCGGAACCCUCGCUGGCGGGAAGUGCAACCUAUGUCACAGGCCACCAAAUCAACGCCAUUGAUACCCUUUCCUCUCCUCUUUCCAACCCCCACACCAUCAUUUCUCGAAUCUUCCCCCAGGUCGUCGAAUAUCUAUUUGAAGAUUUUCCGUCCAUGACGUCAACUAUUCCAAGUCGCUCCAAACUUAUACCAUUGACUCUCCAAACUUCCUUCAACACAAAUAUAUGACCAUCUUGUCUUGAAUCUGGCCGAAAGUGUCGAAUUUCAGUUUGAUUUUCGGUCAAAAAUCCUAGGCGCUUUGAAGUACUACAAAUUGGUGCUGCGUGAUCUUCGGGCUUGCCUCAUGAUGAAUUCAACGUUUGCCAUUGAAGUUGGUCGAAUCUUAUAACCAGUAAGUUCCUCACAGUUUUUCUUUUAUUUUUCUGUUUUUGCUUUGUGUUAAUAUUCGACUCUGAUGCAGUUUGAUCUUCUAGGGUUAAUAAUUGAAAAUUGUUCUUGUUCUCUCUCGAAUUUUUGUUAACUGAUAAAUUUGGCAUUAGCUAGCAAUUAGUCUUGAUCAAUAAUUGGUUUAGUUUAGAUUUCUGAUGAUUAGGUCAAUGUUGUUAAUGAGACCAAUUCUCGUUUCGUUAGUUAAUUGUUUCGCUUUGUGUUAGUUGCCAGUAAUGGUUAAUAAGUUUAACUGUUCUUCAAUUGUUUAAAAUAGUUCAAUUUGUUUUUUUACUGAAUUUGUGAUAAUCAUUUGUUGGGUUGUUUGGAUUGUUGAUAUAACUGGGAGUUUAAAGUCAGUUAGUUAAUUGGAGACUGGAUAAACCUUAGUUAAGUUCACCUAAGAUAACGGAAUUUGGAAAGUUAAGAUAGUAAUUGCAGAAUAAAGUUCAGGGGCAUUCUGGGUAAUUGACAUUGACCUUGAAAGUUGUAGGUUAGAGUAGAAGGCCCGAGAAUCUUCUAGAAUAGGGUCAAGUGUAGGGUUUUAGUAAAUGUAAGGCAUUAACUUGUUUUGCAAGCCAGAAAUAAGAGGACCAAAAUGAAAUAAAUGAGGGACUAAUAUUGCAAACUGAAAAUCUGAGGGUUGCCUCAUCUUUGCCUAUAUAAAGUAGCCCCAAUUCCUUAAUUCACAAGUUUGGGUAGCCUAAAAUUUCCCCUCACAAGGUAUUCUCCAGACUUCCAGAUCUGGAAUUAAUAUUUCAGGUCUGAAAUUCCUUUAAAGCUCAACUUCUUCAAAAAGAAAAAUCAAAAACAACAAAAGCUUCAAAAAUAAAAAUAAUGUACCGCAAUAGUCAUUUUUAGGCAAAAUUGUUCAAUUCCAGUCUCAUCUAUUUGUUGAGUUUUAUUGAAGUUUAUUAGUUGGUUUUUUGAGUGGCUUUGGGUCCAUGCAAAUUGAUUUUUACUUGAACUAGUGAAUUUGAUUGGUUUUGAAACAUUUAUGGACCAUCUGGUUGUGAUUUCGAGCUAUUAUGAGUUUGUUCAAGUAGUAUUGGAUUGAGUUGCUAGUUUUCUGUUGACUUGUUGAAUAAUUUCUGGAUUUUGAACCUUUUCCUUGGCUGUUGGUUAUUCCAUAACUGUUGGAAAUUGUUUAUUGCUACUACUGUGAUGCGACUGACCUCAUUUGCUUCUAUUUGUGUCGAUUUCUAGGUACUUUUUGGUUUCCUUUGGUAUUGAUGGACUGAAUCUGUAUGUUGGUCGAUUGAAGAAUAAAAUCCAAGUCUUGUUAACUUAAUGUUGAAUCUGUGCAAUAUCGUUCAAACUGGGAUUUUAGUUGUGUAGCAGUAACAAUAGAGAAUUGGAUAAUUGAAACACUUUUAUAAUUUGUAGUAAGUGAACUGCAGUGGACUAUUGAUUUGAAGUUGUACUCAGUUGUUCUGGAAGUUCUUCAUUAGGAUGUAAUAGUUGAUGCUUGAACAUUUACGAGAAUUCAUCUGGGUUAGUAGUUAGUACUUGAUUUUCAAAAUAAACUGGACGGUAAUAUUGUCAGUAUAUGAAUGCCAAGUUUGUUAGGUUAAGUGGAGUUGAAAAUUAAGUUGAAUUGAGGGUUCAUUCUCACAUUGGGGUUUGGGUAAAAUGGUGACAAUAUUAUUAGUUUUUGAUUGUAAUUUAGUGACUAAAUAUGUAAUGGUUAAUGUGUUUUGGAUUUUGGGCUAGGAUCAAUUCAUUAUUAAAUAUUGGGGCUGUGGGGGUUUGGAUACAGCAAUUCUGUGCACGCGCACAUUGGAAAACGUAGGCUUCCAUUUGGAACUUUGGAGCACCCUUGCGCAGGCUCAAUAUCUAUUUUGUCCUUAAUGUAAAUGGGGCUGGUUUAUAAGCCUGGUUCAUUGCCCAGUUUAAAAUUCAAUUCAAGGUUUACAUAAAAUUUAGGUUUUGAGUUAGGUAGCGGGUUCACUCCCUUUUGUUUGGACCCGGAUGCGAACUUGAAGCCCAAAUUUUAGUAUUAAUUAAUUAAUUAGGUUUUUCUUUUAUUUUAAAGACAAAAAUAAAAAUAGAAAAUAUAGUCGCUCUUAGCCUUACCCUUUAAUAUAAAAAUGAGACAAGCCUCGGCCGAUGAAAUGGAAAAUUGAGGGGUCCUCAAUAAAGGUUUUAAAAAUAAUUAGAAAAUCAGGAAGGAUCAUUAGUGAAUUUCACGACCCUCCCAAAAUAUAAUAACGCGUUAGACUCUUUAGACGCGAUUUUAAUAAAUUUACGUUCCGAAACUCAGGUGUGCAUUUCAUGCGACCAAAAAUAAAUCCCAAAACGUGGAAUAUAGUGUGUUUAGGAUUGCGGGUGCAUUUCAUGUGACGCAAUGCAAAGGCACGCUUUAAACGACGUUCACCUUCCUUUCUU
rnacentral:lncRNA from 1 species